rnacentral:rRNA from 1 species
GACGAACGCUGGCGGCGUGCUUAACACAUGCAAGUCGAACGGAAAGGCCCUGCUUGCAGGGUACUCGAGUGGCGAACGGGUGAGUAACACGUGGGUGAUCUGCCCUGCACUUCGGGAUAAGCCUGGGAAACUGGGUCUAAUACCGGAUAGGAGCCAUUUUUAGUGUGAUGGUUGGAAAGUUUUUUCGGUGUAGGGUGAGCUCGCGGCCUAUCAGCUUGUUGGUGGGGUAAUGGCCUACCAAGGCGGCGACGGGUAGCCGGCCUGAGAGGGUGGACGGCCACAUUGGGACUGAGAUACGGCCCAGACUCCUACGGGAGGCAGCAGUGGGGAAUAUUGCACAAUGGGCGCAAGCCUGAUGCAGCGACGCCGCGUGGGGGAUGACGGCCUUCGGGUUGGAAACUCCUUUCGCUAGGGACGAAGCUUUUUGUGACGGUACCUAGAUAAGAAGCACCGGCUAACUACGUG